rnacentral:snoRNA from 2 species
ACGACCUUACUUGGACAGGAUCUGUUCUAUAGUAAUCGUACCUCUGUAUCCUUGAUUUCUAAGGAGACAGGAAUCCCAACCUGGUGGAUGAAUCAUGACCAUCCGUGUGAUCAGAGCGUGAUUAGGAUCGUUCUCAGUCAGUUUUCACUGUCUGGGGUGGUUACACGGUUGUCUGACAGGUU